UCGCCACUGGUUUGUUCUCAACCUCGCGUCACCGCCGUGAGCAGUCAGUCAGUCGCGUGGCGCGGUGGUAGAAGGUUGUCUCGGAACUGCUUGCCGAGUCCGAGGUCGCUCUAUGCUGACUCAGCCACGCGGUCUUUUCGUCUUACAUAGUGUAUUGAGACUUGGUGCUGUCUUCUGCCCUGUGUUGGAACCCUUGAGAGUUAGCCUUAUCCGAUUGCCGCUCCUCUGCUGCGGUGUGUGGAUCAGUGACCGGCGGAGACACUUUGUGCUUUUAUCUAGUUACAAAAGAGAAAGACGAGGCGGCCAGUGAGUGCGCGCGAUACACCUGAAAGACACCGUCGACGUGAGUAUUGGCGACUUCAAUGCCGCAAGAGGUGCUUCGACAGCCAGCGUGUCUGCGUGCCUGGAGGGGGAGCCAUUUAAGCGAGGUUCCUUGUUCUCCACCCAGAGAGCGCCUCGCCAAACAGACAAUGACCAGUGCAGUAGGCAUCGAGUUCCUUAUCGUCUACGGCAUCGUCCUCCUUUCAGCGAAGGUAUUGUGUAAUCGGUAGGUGUGGAUAGGUAAGUUUGAUCGAUGUGAGCUCAUCUGUUCGCGCGAUGGAAGAUUGUUCGGAUAAAUCGAAUUAAAAUCGAGGUUUAGAUCACUUGGUCACGAAGGAGCCACGUCACGGUUUUGAGAUUUCGUUUUCGUGCAGCUUGAGCAAUCAGUUCAGGUCAGUUUCCUUCCAGCAGACACUUGGUAGGUGUGUGUGUGUGUGUGUGUGUGUGUGUGGGUGUGUGUGUGUGUGUGUGUGUGUGUGUGUGUGUGUGUGUGUGUGUGUGUGUGUGUGUGUGUGUGUGUGUGUGUGUGAUGUAAAAACUUCCUCUCAACACGUAGAGAUAGCAGUACAACACAGAGGACAAAUUAGGAUGAAUCGACACUCUCCACGGCCAUCUUCCAGCAGGCGCGGAGGCCGUAUAAGGUGGAAAGACAAAAGUGAAAAUAAGUCAUCACUUGAGCGUCUAAAAGUCAAGGUCACUUACAUAGGAAAAUGUCAGGGUUUGAAUAUCAUUCUGAUUUUUAAAAUUCUCACAUUUUUUAAUAUUUAAUAUAAUUUUAUGGGCGAUUCCUCGAAAGUCCGGCAUAAGGCUGAGACGCCCGACUGAGAGAGAGAGAGAGAGAGAGAGAGAGAGAGAGAGAGAGAGAGAGAGAGAGAGAGAGAGAGAGAGAGAGAGAGAGAGAGAGAGAGAAUGUAAAGCGAGAUACUCUCUCUCCAGAGGGAGAGGUUGGGGGGGGGGGGGGGGAGGCGAAGAGAAAGUGGCGAAGAGAGAGAGGACCGAGAGAAAGAGAAAGAAACAGCAGAAGAGAGUUAGUGCAGUGAGUAUAUAGGGAGCUAGUUCAGUACCACACACGCCAGUCCUGCCAUAGAUCUCUGGCGCGACCGAUUCGCUACUUUGCAUCUCCGCUAAAAAGUAGACUCGGGAAAAGGCUUCAAGUUUUUGCGGGUCCUUCAAGGAGGGAGGCUUACCAGGGGUCAGUGUCAGAGCCUCCCGAGACGCUAAACUUUCUCAUUUUGUCUCAUAAGAUACGUAGGUGGAAACCAGACAGCAACUGGCUCUUCAUUAUUAUCAUUGCUACUGUUAUUAUUGUUUUUUUUAUGUUAUUGUUAAUCAAAAUCAGUGUCACUAUUCAUUAUUCAUAAUUGUUAUUACUGUUCAUUAUUCCUAAUUAUUAUUACUAUCCAUUAUUCAUAAUUAUUGAUACUUUUAUUCAUUUGCCUUUCAUAUCCUCUUGCCACGGCGAGACUUGGCUUGUCAUAUCUUUGUUACACACUAUUUAACCUUGUGUAGUAUUGCAGCGGUGUGUAGGUGUUGCUGGCCAGGGUGUGGGUCUUAGUAGAAACAGUGGGAGCAUGCGGUGGAGGGCCCUACUGGCCUGCUAAGUCCCAAGCCUCGGCCAGUCGCCACAGCCACCACACCCUUCCUGAUGCAGGCGAUAUUGUGCGGGUGGACGUCUGAGCUCCACCCCUCUCUCCGUCCCUCCCUCCCUCUGUGUCUGUCUGUCUGUCUGUCUCACUUCAUUUCUUGCAUCUUUGGUAUCUCGUCUUACUUGUGUGAAAGUUUCUGGUUCUUGGUCGAACGGAAACGAAUGCUUUUCUUACUCCCUUCACUUUACCUGUCACUGAGCAUGUUCCUUUUACAACGCACACACUAACUAGUAUCUUUUUUUUUCCCCCUUGCUGCACUUGCUUCUGCCCGAGGCGGCUUCUUUUACGGCAUCAGACUUAAGUACACUUAACCAUCGCGUUUAAAAUUCCUUCUCUGUACUACUGUGUUGUACCUGUGUGCUACGGGUAUCUGCAAACAACACACGCAAUCUCUCUGAUUUCUGAUUCUUCAAGACAGUUCUUUUUUCUUCCACAUUAUUCAGACUUUCUUGGGAGUUUGCGUUUACUUUAGAGUGUUUCUUUCUUCUUAGACUGUAGAAAAAAAUGACACUUUUGGCGGGAAAUCUUGUGCAAUCUUUCCGAAACCAUUUCCUUUCUUUCCAAGAGAGAGAGAAAAAAACUUUCUUGGUACGUGUGACAACACCGUUACAAAAAGAAAAAAAAACUGAAGAUGCUUUGAAACUGACUUUUCUAGCUGAACGAUACAGCGGUUUCACGAGUACACACACACACACACACACGAACACACACACACACACACACACACACACACACACACACACACACACACACACACACACACACACACACACACACACACACAAACACACACACACACACACACACACACAGACCGUCGCGACAAUGAACUUCUGACAUUAGGCAAGAUACUGCCAGUCCGUGACCUCUUACUGUGGUCGGUCGGCUUCCGGUACUUAGGAACGCUGGUCCGUCUCGGUUCCGUUGACCUGGAAAUUUCAAUAUUUGAUUCUCAGUGUAAAUAGAUACAUCGUUAUGCAUAUCGACUUUAGACUAGGAUAUUUUUUUUCGUGGAUAUCAUUCAGUAGGAGGGAAAAGUUAAAUUCCAUAAACAAUGAUUAGAUUUAAUUCAUUUUACAGUGAUUAGAUUAAAUUCAUCUUGUUGCAUCAUAAAAAUCCCCAUCUCAGUCUUUGGCUAAGGUGCCCCGCAUUGUCUCCCAGAGUCAACCUUUCAGUGACAUUCCCGUGACUCAGUUUCGUCCAUUCUCGACCCCCCCCCCCUCCCCUACCCCGUCACGUGACUUCACCAAUCACCCAAAAGAACCAUGUCCCCCCCCCCCCCCCUACAUGCACCUCCAUCACCAACCAACCAAAUCCUCGUGACCUCUGAUCCAUCAUCAUCACGUGACCUGUGAACCAACCACCUCCACCACCAACGUGACUACUGAACCGCUACUACUACUUAUCGCUGUUGCAAACUUGGGGUUUCUAAGCGGCAUCCCUUGCAACAUUUCUGAGUGCAAUGCCCUUGGAAAUCCCAAAUAUGCUCGGCCUGGCGACAAGGACCUUGCGAAAUCACUCUGACUAAAUAUUGACAACCACGACCCACUUGAUGACGACGACGACGACGACCUCGUCUUCCACGACUGCCUUUCCCUCCGACCUCGACGAGUUCCCCGGGAAGGGAGAGGGCAGAGAGGUCGUCCUCAUCUCCGAGGUCGAGCGUGAGUACCCGAACUUCAUGUUGGUUUCAGGUUAGAUUGUAAAGCAAACGCAAAGCAGGAUUUUAUUCAAUUAAUAACAUACAUAAUCUUUACACAACAAGAAAUAAUGUAAAAUUUGAUAUACUAUCUAUAUGACUUAGUAAAAAAAGAUAAGCGAAUAUCCAAAGCACAUUUAAAAGGUAAAGAUGAAAGAAGAUUAAGUAUGAAUAUGUAAAUAUAUGUAUCACGGGGUGGAAACGCCCUUGGUCGUAUGCAAGAGUUCAUCUAGUUACAGAACAGCAGGAGGACUUCAGAACACUUGCCCGGAGGAGCUAGCGAGACCACGACAAGGAUCGGACGAGAGAGGAAAUGGGAGGACGAAACACACGAACUGGCGAAGAAUGCGAACGGAGAGAGGGAAUAAGAGAGAGAAAAAGGACAGAAAAGAGUCGUCAGUAACAUGGAUGAGAAACAUAAACACAGAUCUGGACGACGCUCAAUGAAUUAGUCGAUGACAUCCUUUCAUGAAAUUACGAAUCCUGGAUGAUGUAAUGUUGAUAUUGAGUGAUGUACUGUAAUUCGCGAAUGAAGAUACUUUGUGUUAUAAAAUACAAAUAAAUAUGAGUAUAUGA